UACGUAGGGGGCAAGCGUUGUCCGGAUUUAUUGGGCGUAAAGAGCGUGUAGGCGGCCAUACAGGUCCGUUGUGAAAACUGGAGGCUUAACCUCCAGACGUCGAUGGAAACCGUAUGGCUAGAGUCCGGAAGAGGAGAGUAGAAUUCCUGGUGUAGCGGUGAAAUGCGCAGAUAUCAGGAAGAACACCCGUGGCGAAGGCGGCUCUCUGGGACGGUACUGACGCUGAGACGCGAAAGCGUGGGGAGCGAACAGG
rnacentral:rRNA from 1 species